CCUUAAGGACGCAGAGUGGCGUCAGAUUUGGAGAAGCGCCGGGGACCGUGGAGGAAGUCAUCGGCCUGGAUUUCUUUGGAUUUGCAGAUAGGGUUCCAGCAGAACUGGAAGGUGGGCGAGACAGGCCCUGCGCCACCAUUUGAGCAGCGCUGGGAUAUAAAACCAUCUGCUAGCCCUCUCCUUGCACGUCUGGGGCUGGAAAAAGUAGUUCUGGGACUGGGUACGGUGCUGGAAGGGGUACUAGGCAGGAUGAAACGACGGGGCCCACGACGCUCCAAAAGGAAGCCUUCUGGACAUAUUUCCUGCCUAAGUGCUCGCUCUGGGGUGGCAGAGGGGUCCACCCAAAAUCAGACAGAGCUAGGCUAGGCUGAGCCCUUCAGGAGCUCACAGUCUCCUGUAGUUUCCAAACCCUAACACAAUUAACCAAGGAAUGUAAAUGUCUAUAGCAGUUGUUUUAGAAGUUCCUUGAGAACAAAAAGGGAAGUUAUUAAAUCUGAAGGAGUGGAUCUGGAAAGGUAAAAGGAAAGCUGCAUAGGUUUUCACUAGGCAGGAAACAGUGGCAGGGCAUUCAUUUAAAAGGCAUUCCAUUCCAGGCAGGAGCAAGGCCAAGAAAGCAUAGAGGUGAAGAAACUUUAAGGUCACAUAACAAAGGGCCUUGAACUGAAACCAUGCAAAAGAGUUUGUUGUGUAAACCCAAGGUCAAGCUACAAGGCAAACACCGUUUUCUCAACACAUCAAUAUACCCUCUUUAAAAAUGAGCUUUUCCUUGGAACUAUUCCUUUAAGAUAUCUGUCUUCUGAUUAUAUGGAGGUGGUGUAGGCCAAGACUCGGAAACAUGCAGUAUUGAUUUUGGUACAAGAAACAACUCUAGGUACUCUGAGGAGUUUGGCACAGAGGUUCAAAAAAUGAGCCUUAGUUCUCAGUAAGUCUUCACACUACAGCUUUUCUUUUUUAAUAUUUGUUUUACUGUGCCAGACUCUACAGCUCUGUCCUCAAAGAGCACAUAAUCUUUAGGGAAACUUACAGGAGAACAGCAAGGUCAGGAGAACUACAAGUAGUUCCUUAUAUCUUGAUGACAGACCCAGAUACAGAUUUUAUUCCUGCCAUUUACUAGCUAUUUGAUACCGGAGAUGACGUUUAACUUUCUUUGCUGCUUCAUCUACAAAAGGGGGGUAAUUAUACUAAUACCUAUGAAAGAGGGGCAUUUUCAGGCCUAAAUAACAUAGCAUAUGUAAAGCCCUUAGAGUUUUGUCAAUGCUCCUACAGGAAUACUGUAGUUGAAGAAGUUGGGAUUAUUACUCAGGGAGGGAGAACAUGCACUAUGGGGAGCCAUGAAGUGUCUUAGGUAAAUGGUAUUAGAAAGCACUUAAAGGAUUUGGGCUUUGAUUAGGUGAUUUGGGAAAGACUCCGUGGAAAGAGGUGGGAAGGGUUGCUCAAGAUUAAGUGCCUUCAGGAAGUGGAGACAGUUCAGUGAUUAUCUUAUCUAGGAGGAUGGCAGGCUAAAAGACAAGCCUAAAGCUGUAACUGACAAGCAUUAGUCAUCCAUAUCAUGGAGAGAGGGGAAUGUUUGAUUUUGAAAGACAAAACAAAUUAAAGAUCUAAUUGGCUUUUAUUUGCAAUUCCAGAAUAGGCAAAACUUCAUUCUCUAAAAUAGAAUCUGUUCCAAUGAGCUAAGCAGAGGAGGUUGGCUUUAUAGGCAGAAAAAAGCUAGAGAACAGAAAUAAGGAAUGAGAAGCAGAUGAGUUGUUUCAAAGUUACUUUCCUUAUAGGGUUAAAACAGGGGAACUUUCUUAGCAUACCAGCUCAGAUAAACUUGGCCCCUUCUGAUUGGGUGCUAUGAAUUUCCUGCUUUUUGGAAAACUGGCUGGUUUCAGAGUUGCUUUUGAUUAUGUGGCAAUACGCAUGAGGGACCAUUCUGCUUUGGUCUGGUCUGCCGGAGCCUAGUGCAGCAGAUUAGUCCAAAACUAAGGUUAGUCUAUAAUCAUUUCCCAUGAAUUUAUUUAACAUUGAUAUUUUCUGAUUUGCAUACUGACCUUGUUAUUGUCUGUGCUUAGACAAAACAUGGAAGUGAUCUUGUUUUGUCUCACUUCAUCAUGGUCACAGAGUGACCCUGUCUGAUAUUGCUGUUCUGUGAGAUGCUGUUCAUCAGGAGAACAACAUGGCCUAGCUAUGAGUGUCAGGCCAGUUUCUAAAAACACUGAGGCUUAGCUAUAAGUGUCAAACUAGUUCCCUGAUGUCAGGGACUGCUCCUUUCUUUCUCAUGUCUUUGCCACAUAGAAGGUACUAAAUAUAAGUAAACAGGAGCCAUGAUAAUUAAUUUUCAAGUUUACGUACAGCACUCUGAAUUUUUUCUCAUAGAAAUGCACUGGAACUUCAGUGUACUAGUGAAAAUAUCUUUGUAUAAGUUUUAUGUUUUUUAAAGUACAUUUUAUAUGUGUGCCCCAACAUACUUAAACCUCAUAACAGCAUGCACUGACCCUCAUUUUGAUCACCCAGCGAGAUGAUACACCCCAGUGAGUCAAUAGUCAUGGAAAUAGAAAGUUGAAGGUGAAAAAAAAGGCCUGGAAAAGCUUGGAAUCUAGGAAUAUAUUUCUUCCCUUUAUCAUUUCUGUUCAGUGUCAACAUCCAGAAAAUUAUUAAUGCCUUUCUUUUGAUGGCUCACUCUUAUGGACCAUAUGAGAAAGUUGUUGAAAGCUGAGGGAAGGAAGUGAUUAUCCUUAAUCAAUUUUUUUAAAUGAGAUGUCAUUUACCCUCAUUAAAUUGGCAAAUACUACAAAGUUCCAUGUUUCCAAGUUUGGGCCAAGUUGGGAAUUCCUAGAUAGAUAGUGGAAGUGCAAAACAGGUAUAGGCACUUUGGACAAAAACUUGGUAAUACCUAGUAAAGGUGAAGGUAUGUGUACCUAUGACCCUGCAAUUCCAUGUCUAGAUGUCUCCCUGGAAAAGCCCAAACAUACACCUACAAAGAUAUUUCUUGAACACUUCUGCCAUAUUAUGAUUAUCUAUAUAUGUAUAUAUAUAUAGAUACAGAUUUUCACCCAUGGUUCCUAGUUCAUAAGUUUCAUAACUCUUGUUACAGCCUUUUGUUAUAAUGUGAGAGUGCUUUAGGCCUCAGAAGUAGGCCUCAGGGAACAGAAUCUCUCUCUGGGAACUUCUGCUCUCCUUUCACCUGCCCAAGACAGGAAUCUAAUCUGAUGGUGGGUCAUAAGACCCUCAGGCCAGAGAGAGUCCUGCCCCACGCUCUAGAGAAAGGAAUGCUGCACAGAGAGACCAGGAAAAUCUGAACAGAACAGACAGGCCUUGCUGGGUUUAGAGCAUACCCUUUUGUGCAAUCACAUUUCGACACAAUUAUCCAUGCUUCAAUCAUGAACAACCAAUGAAGUCUACAUAAAACGCAGGGUUCAGAGAGCUGAACACAUGGAGGCUGACAGGAAGGUGAACAGGAACUCAUCCACAUUCUGGGAGGGUGGUGCACUUCAACUCCACAGGGAUAGAAGCUCAUUCAGGGCCCUUCCAGACCUCACCCUAGGUAUCUUGUCAUCUGGCUGUUUAUCUAUAUCCUUUAAAAUCUCCUUCAUGAUAAACCAGAAAAUGUGUUUCCUGAGUUCUUUGUGCCUCUCUCCAAAUUAAUCCAGCCCAAAGAAGGUAUAAUGGAAACCCCUGCUUGAAGCCAGUGGAUCAGAAGUGCUAGAGGCCCAGACUUGUGAUUGAUGGGAAGGAGGACGCAAUCUUGUAGGACUGAGCCCUCAACCUGUGGGAUCUGACACUAUCUCUGGAUAAGGAGUAUCAGAACUGAAUUGGAAGACACUCAGCUGGUGUCCACAGGAGAACUGAUUGCUUGCUUGCUGGUGAAUUGCUGUGUUGUGGACAUUCCUCAAGAUCAAAUGUACAUAAAACCUGUCUGUAUCUACGUCUCUCCUUAGGGUGUCCAUUUGUGUGCAUUAUUUGCUUUCUGUUUUGUUCUUUGAACCCAUUGUAACACAAUAGACUUAAAAUUAUUUACUAAAUUUGCUUUGAUUAAGGUAUUGCUGUUUAUAUUUGGGUCAUGAAAGAGUAACGUGUAAUUAGUUGCAACAGUUACAAGGGCAAGUUAGCGUCCUUACCUUUUUGCUGAGAUGUCUGAAAUAUUUACAGUUUCUUGUGAAAUCAAGCUGUGCCUGCACACUGUCCUGACACUGCAGUCACAAGUCACCAGAUAAUUUUAUACUGCCAGAGCCUCAUUCUCAGUCUUUGAUCCCUCUUUAUUUGCUGCUGUUGAUCACAGUAUCCUUCUUGAGACUCUUUUCUCACUUAUUUCUCUCAUCAUCUCUCUAAAAAUUAUCUCCCUGACCUCUGCUUGGGCUUUUCUUUCUCUCCCCAUCUUCUAGUGGGAUGGUAUGCCUCUUUGUGUAGAAUGCUUUGAGACAGAAAGCCUGAUUUAGUUCCACUAUGUGGGCACCUUCCAAAUAAUAAAACAACUGGAGGAGUGAAUGCUUACUCAGGACAAAUCUGCCUCAGUUUAUUCAUGGGGAAAAUGAGGAGUUCAAAUUGUAUUCCCCAGACAUUCAAACUGGGAUACUCAGAGCUCUAAGCUUUCACACCAGUACUUCAGGGACCACUGCAGAAGGUGAGGGAAAAAGCAUCCAUGUGGUAUGAUUCUAGACCCUCCCUCUAGGGACGUUUAAACUGACAUUGCUUUUACCUGUUUGUUUUAUUAUUCAACACGAGGUACCAUGUGAAACAAAAAAAGAAGUCAGCAAAAAAGAAUAAAACCUUUAUUAAAUGAAAUGGGUUAUAAAUCAGUGUUUCUUUUUUCUUUCAGUUUUAGAGAUGAGGGUCUCGCUAUGUUGCCCAGGCUGGUCUUGAACUCCUGGGCUCAAGUGAUCCUCCCAACUCGGCCUCCCAAAGUGCUGGGAUUACAGACAUGAGCCACCACACCCGGCCAAAUCAGUGUUUCUUAACCUUUUUUCAAAAUCG
rnacentral:lncRNA from 1 species